CUGUUGAGUUCGUCACAAAUUCUGUUGCAAUAUAAAAUAACUGACACCCGUGUACAAAUAUGCAGUUUGGAUAAGACAAGACCUGAGAAGGAGCUUGAACGAGCCAAAUCAGAAAUCUUACGAUGCAAAUUGAGAAUACGGGAAGUCUUCCAAAAUAUUGAUUCUCUUCUGUCCAAGGGGAAAAUUGACGAAUCUUUAUUUGAUUCUGAAGGAGAAAUAUCUUGUGAAGAUAUCUUUUGUGCUACUUGUGGUUCGAAAAAUGCUACAUUGGGUAAUGAUAUCAUUCUCUGUGAUGGAGCUUGUGACAGAGGGUUCCACCAGAACUGUCUAAAUCCUCCUCUGCGUACUGAAGAUAUUCCCAUGGGAGAUGAAGGAUGGCUCUGCCCAGCAUGUGAUUGCAAGUUAGACUGUAUAGAUCUAAUAAAUGAACUCCAGGGCAGUGACAUCUCCAUUGAGGACCCUUGGGAGAAAGUUUUUCCAGAGGCAGCUGCUAUGACCAAUGGCUCUAAGCAAGAUGAAGCAUUUGAUCUUCCAUCUGAUGAUUCGGAUGACAAUGAUUUUGACCCCAAUAUGCCUGAAGAGCAUGUGGCUAGUAAGGAAGAAGAAUCUUCUGAAGAGGAAGAGGAUGAUGACGGAGGAUCAGACUCUGACGACUCUGACUUCUUAACCUGUUCUGAUGAUUUGGAACCUUUGAUAGAUAAAAAGAAGGUUGAUGACCUGGGAUUACCUUCUGAAGAUUCAGAGGAUGAUGACUAUGAUCCAGCAGGUCCUGAUUCGGAUAAAGAUGUCGAAAAGAAGUCAAAUUCUGAUGAGUCUGAUUUCACGUCUGAUUCGGAUGAUUUUUGUAAGGAGAUUAAAAAAUCUGGUGGACAUGAUGAAGUUUCAUCGCCUCCAUUACCCGAUGUCAAGGUGGGUGAUAUGGAAAAGAACACUGCUCAGUCUAACACAAUAAGUUCUGCUGACGACCCUAUGGAGACUGAAAUAGACCAGAGUGUGGUUUUACCAGUAUCAAGGAGACGUCAAGCUGAACGGUUGGACUACAAAAGGCUGUAUGAUGAGGCAUAUGGUGAAGCAUCAUCUGAUUCUAGUGAUGAAGAAGAAUGGUCUGGGAAGAACACACCAAUAAAAAGCAAUGAAGAGGGUGAAGUUGGUUCUCCUGCAGGAAAAGGCUCUAGAGUUGCGCACCAUAAUGAACUGACUACACAAAACACUAAAGAAAGCUUGCAUUCUCUUCAUGGUUCAGUAGAUGAGAAACAUGGAGAUCUUACUUCUAAUGGCAGCAAUAUCAAAGAUAGGAAAGGACAUUUUGGUCCAGUGAUUAGUCAGAAGCUACAUGAACAUUUUAAGACACAACCAUACCCUAGUCGUUCUCUUAAAGAAAGCUUGGCAGAAGAACUAGGGCUAACAUUUCAUCAGGUCAACAGAUGGUUUGAAAAUAGGCGUCAUUUUGCAAGGUUAGCUUCUUCCAGGAAAGGCAUCAGUCCAGAUAAGCAUAGCCCCCAAAAUACUAAUAGCCCAGUGACACCUAGUAUGCAACCUAAAGAACCAGAGGGGACUGUGAUGGAAGAAUCUAAUGUAUGCAUAAACAGGGAUGCUACCAUCUCUAAAAAAGCGGUUUCUUCAAAAGUCGGAUCAAGAAAGAACCUUAGCAAGAGUUCCCCUAAAAGCCGGGACAAAAGUUGAUUCUGCCGCGGAUCAGAAUCUGUGGCCUGACCUUACAGAGAAGGCAGGGCAGGCAAAGAGCAAUACAGCAGGAGUUGAAGAAGAAAAUGGGACGAUGAAGUUUGUAGACAAAGACAUGAGCCAGAAUUUGGAUUGCUCCUGAAAUUUGCAGGUCUAUGGGCCUUGAAACUUGGGUUGUAUGACUCUACACUGGUAGCCAAAAAACAUAGAUAUACCAUUGCAAGUCAGCUAGCUCUCAUUAGAUCAUGCCAAUCAACUAACAAGCACGUCAUUCAGUUUUUUUCUUCUUUUUUUUCCUGUGGGGGCUAUUGAUUCCCGUUCUUUGCCAACUGAGGGCUUCCUCUGAUUUCUGGGUCGCUCUAUAGGUAUUAGCUAUCCUACAGAUUUGUUUGCAGCAAUUACUGUCAUUGCAGGAAGAGCUCAAUUACAAAACCCUAAGGUUCAGUAACGACAGCACGAUGCUGCUAUGACAGGAUGCAGAAGAUGCAUUGUUUUCAUCGAUGUUGAUUUUCUUGUAAGAUGGAAUGUUGUACCAAACCUGAACAGAUCACUUUGUUGUGAUUCAGUGUGCGGCUAUGGCCUAUGGAUUUGUA